rnacentral:rRNA from 1 species
AUUGAACGCUGGCGGCAGGCCUAACACAUGCAAGUCGAACGGUAACAGGAAGAAGCUUGCUUCUUUGCUGACGAGUGGCGGACGGGUGAGUAAUGUCUGGGAAACUGCCUGAUGGAGGGGGAUAACUACUGGAAACGGUAGCUAAUACCGCAUAACGUCGCAAGCCCAAAGAGGGGGACCUUCGGGCCUCUUGCCAUCGGCUGUGCCCAGAUGGGAUUAGCUAGUAGGUGGGGUAACGGCUCACCUAGGCGACGAUCCCUAGCUGGUCUGAGAGGAUGACCAGCCACACUGGAACUGAGACACGGUCCAGACUCCUACGGGAGGCAGCAGUGGGGAAUAUUGCACAAUGGGCGCAAGCCUGAUGCAGCCAUGCCGCGUGUAUGAAGAAGGCCUUCGGGUUGUAAAGUACUUUCAGCGGGGAGGAAGGGAGUAAAGUUAAUACCUUGACUCAUUGACGUUACCCGCAGAAGAAGCACCGGCUAACUCCGUG